GGUGAACGCUGGCGGCGUGCCUAACACAUGCAAGUCGAGCGGUGCAGUUUGAAGCUUCGGUGGAAAGCUGCAUAGCGGCGGACGGGUGAGGAAAACGUAGGAACGUGCCCCUUGGAGUUGGAUAGCCACGGGAAACUGUGGGUAAACCGACAUAGACUCGAGAGAGUAAAGGCCGAAAGGUGCCAAGGGAGCGGCCUGCGGCCCAUCAGGUAGUUGGUAGUGUAAAGGACUACCAAGCCGACGACGGGUAGCCGGUCUGAGAGGAUGGCCGGCCACAAGGGCACUGAGAGACGGGCCCUACUCCUACGGGAGGCAGCAGUGGGGAAUAUUGGACAAUGGGCGAAAGCCUGAUCCAGCAAUGCCGCGUGAGUGAUGAAGGCCUUAGGGUUGUAAAGCUCUUUUACCAGGGAUGAUAAUGACAGUACCUGGAGAAUAAGCUCCGGCUAACUCCGUGCCAGCAGCCGCGGUAAUCGACGAGAGUA
rnacentral:rRNA from 1 species